rnacentral:rRNA from 1 species
GCGAUGUGCCUAAGGUAUGCAAGUCGAACGAUACCUGUAUCUUCGGAUACAGGGAGUGGCAAACGGCUGAGUAACGCGUAGGAACCUACCCCAAACUCGAGUAUAGCCCCGCGAAAGCGGGGGUAAUCCUCGAUAGCCCGUGAAGUAUUUUACUUCACGGUAAAGCUUUUGCGGUUUGGGAUGGGCCUGCGUCCUAUCAGGUAGUUGGUGAGGUAAAUGCUCACCAAGCCUAUGACGGGUAGCUGGUCUGAGAGGAUGGUCAGCCAGACUGGGACUGCGACACGGCCCAGACUCCUACGGGAGGCAGCAACUAGGAAUUGUGCGCAAUGGACGAAAGUCUGACGCCGCGACAUCGCGUGGAGGAUGAAGGUCUUCGGAUUGUAAACUCCUUUUCUUACCGAACAAGUUCUGAGUGUAGGUAAGGAAUAAGUGCCUGCUAACCACGUGCCAGAAGCAUCGGUAAUACGUGGGGCACGAGCGUUAUCCGGAUUUACUGGGCGUAAAGAGAAGCGUAGGCGGCUCAAUAAGUUUGGUGUUAAAUCUUCCGGCUCAACCGGAAACAAGCACCGAAAACUAUCGAGAUUGAGUCGAGUAGGGAAGAGGGGAAUUCCUGGUGGAGCGGUUAAAUGCGUAGAUAUCAGGAGGAAUACCAAGGGCGAAGGCACCUCUUUGGACUCGUACUGACGCUGAGGCUCGAAAGCGUGGGUAGCAAAACGGAUUAGAUACCCGUGUAGUCCACGCCGUAAACGAUCCCUGUUAGAUGU